GAUGAACGCUAGCUACAGGCUUAACACAUGCAAGUCGAGGGGAAACGGCAUUGAGUGCUUGCACUCUUUGGACGUCGACCGGCGCACGGGUGAGUAACGCGUAUCCAACCUUCCCAUUACUGUGGGAUAACCUGCCGAAAGGCAGACUAAUACCGCAUAGUCUUCGAUGACGGCAUCAGAUUUGAAGUAAAGAUUUAUCGGUAAUGGAUGGGGAUGCGUCUGAUUAGCUUGUUGGCGGGGUAACGGCCCACCAAGGCGACGAUCAGUAGGGGUUCUGAGAGGAAGGUCCCCCACAUUGGAACUGAGACACGGUCCAAACUCCUACGGGAGGCAGCAGUGAGGAAUAUUGGUCAAUGGACGGAAGUCUGAACCAGCCAAGUAGCGUGCAGGAUGACGGCCCUAUGGGUUGUAAACUGCUUUUGUAUGGGGAUAAAGUUAGGGACGUGUCCCUAUUUGCAGGUACCAUA
rnacentral:rRNA from 1 species